UGGGGAAUUUUGGACAAUGGGGGAAACCCUGAUCCAGCCAUCCCGCGUGUGCGAUGAAGGCCUUCGGGUUGUAAAGCACUUUUGGCAGGAAAGAAACGUCAUGGGUUAAUACCCCGUGAAACUGACGGUACCUGCAGAAUAAGCACCGGCUAACUACGUGCCAGCAGCCGCGGUAAUACGUAGGGUGCAAGCGUUAAUCGGAAUUACUGGGCGUAAAGCGUGCGCAGGCGGUUCGGAAAGAAAGAUGUGAAAUCCCAGAGCUCAACUUUGGAACUGCAUUUUUAACUACCGGGCUAGAGUGUGUCAGAAGGAGGUGGAAUUCCGCGUGUAGCAGUGAAAUGCGGAGAUAUGCGGAGGAACACCGAUGGCGAAGGCAGCCUCCUGGGAUAACACUGACGCUCAUGCACGAAAGCGUGGGGAGCAAACAGG
rnacentral:rRNA from 1 species